GACGAACGCUGGCGGCGUGCCUAAUACAUGCAAGUAGAACGCUGACUACUUUAGCUUGCUAGAGUAGAAGGAGUUGCGAACGGGUGAGUAACGCGUAGGUAACCUGCCUACUAGCGGGGGAUAACUAUUGGAAACGAUAGCUAAUACCGCAUAACAGUGUUUAACACAUGUUAGAUGCUUGAAAGAUGCAAUUGCAUCACUAGUAGAUGGACCUGCGUUGUAUUAGCUAGUUGGUGGGGUAACGGCCCACCAAGGCGACGAUACAUAGCCGACCUGAGAGGGUGAUCGGCCACACUGGGACUGAGACACGGCCCAGACUCCUACGGGAGGAAGCAGUAGGGAAUCUUCGGCAAUGGGAGCAACCCUGACCGAGCAACGCCGCGUGAGUGAAGAAGGUUUUCGGAUCGUAAAGCUCUGUUGUAAGAGAAGAACGUGUGUGAGAGUGGAAAGUUCACACAGUGACGGUAACUUACCAGAAAGGGACGGCUAACUACGUGCCAGCCGCCGCGGUAA
rnacentral:rRNA from 1 species